UAAUCUAUAAAGUAGGAAAAAGCCAUCAACAAGCCUCACCACGUCCACAAGAACGGGGAGGACUUCACCGAGCACUCAAGCCUCACCACGUCAACGAGAACGGGGAGGACUCCCAAAUUUGUCCACCUCAUCACAUACAUGAGAACGAGGAGGAAAUAAACACACGAGCAGCGCUGCCACCAACAAAAAGCCACUACAGACGCAUCAACCCGGGCAACGAGUCAUCAUCACGAAGGAAGAACGACGGUGUAAGUGAGGAAGCAGAACUGAAAAAACAAAAGUUUAUCAAAAGCAAUGAAAAUGCAGAUAUGUAAAGUCAGUAAAGAAUUAUAUCAUAAAUUAUAAAAU